GUCCACGCCGUAAACGAUGUGUGCUAGACGUUGGCAGGCCUAGCCUGUCAGUGUCGCAGCUAACGCGUUAAGCACACCGCCUGGGGAGUACGGCCGCAAGGUUAAAACUCAAAGGAAUUGACGGGGGCCCCGCACAAGCGGUGGAGCAUGUGGUUUAAUUCGAUGCAACGCGCAGAACCUUACCAGGCCUUGACAUGGGGAGUAUGAGGCCGCGAAAGCGGCUUCUUCGGUUCGGCCGGCUCCCACACAGGUGCUGCAUGGCUGUCGU
rnacentral:rRNA from 1 species